ACCACCGAUGGUGAACCGCUGCCA
rnacentral:siRNA from 1 species